GACGAACGCUGGCGGCGUGCUUAACACAUGCAAGUCGAACGGAAAGGCCUGCCUUUGUGGGGUGCUCGGGUGGCGAACGGGGGGGUAACACGUGGGUUACCUGGCCUUGGCUUUGGGGUAACUUUAGGGAACUGGGGCUAAUUCCGGGUAGGGGCUCCUGGUGGCUGGGGGGGGGUGGGAAGUUUCGGCGGUUGGGGAUGGACUCGCGGCUUAUCAGCUUGUUGGUGGGGUAGUGGCUUACCAAGGCUUUGACGGGUAGCCGGCCUGAGAGGGUGACCGGCCACAUUGGGACUGAGAUACGGCCCAGACUCCUACGGGAGGCAGCAGUGGGGAAUAUUGCACAAUGGGCGGAAGCCUGAUGCAGCAACGCCGCGUGCGGGAUGACGGCCUUCGGGUUGUAAACCGCUUUCGCCUGUGACGAAGCGUGAGUGACGGUAAUGGGUAAAGAAGCACCGGCUAACUACGUG
rnacentral:rRNA from 1 species